GGUCAGGGCGGGAGUCGGAGAGCGCGCCCGGCGCAGCAGCGAGACGUGUGUCUGUGGAUUUCGGGCUGCGAUGGCGAGUAGGGAGCUAUGUCUCCUACUUGUGCUGGAAGCCGUUUCUCGCGCUCAUUCUCUGUAACUGGAGGAGGAGGGGUGGCCUUUAGGGUUCGCCUUGAUCGGAGGGGUCCGGUUCCCGCGCUCCCGCCCGGGCCGCAUAAUCUCGCCCAGCACCUUUUCUUCCUUCUUGGUUAUGGCUUGACGAACCCUUAAGGACUCGUCGGCCAACGUUGUGGCACAUUCCUGAAAAGGACGAGGACCCUUUACCCGAGGGGAGUAAAGACAGUACUUGGAAGAUGACGGGUCUAGUCAUCCUUGCACAAGGAAAGCCUUCUGCGCGCUUUGGCGUCUGUACAUGUUGGGACUCCUCAGGCACUGAAAUACUGAAGUCCAGCUCAUUCUCAGUCUCUUGAAAACUGUGUUCACUGUUGGACAGUACUGGCACAGAUCCAAAUCUCCACUUGAAUAUUGAGGAACUCAACAAAGAAUUUAUGGUGAAAAGUGAAGAGCUCUACCAAUCUCUCAUGAAUAGCCACUGGCAGCCUCUCGAUACGGUAUACUCAGAAAUCCCAGACAAGACCCCCCAAGAGCAAGAUGCUGAUUAAGCUACCAAUUAUCAUAUUCAUUGUGUCUUAUUUUGUUUUUGUUUAAAAAGUUCUCGCAGAAAGGCACUGGAUUGUGUGUAUAAAUACAGAUUCUUGAGGGAGUGUCAUGUAAAUAAACGUUGCCAGCACGUUCAAAAAAAAAAAAAA
rnacentral:lncRNA from 1 species